AGUGGGGAAUAUUGCGCAAUGGACGGAAGUCUGACGCAGCAACGCCGCGUGAGGGAUGACGGCCUUCGGGUUGUAAACCUCUUUCAGCAGGGACGAAGCGAGAGUGACGGUACCUGCAGAAGAAGGACCGGCCAACUACGUGCCAGCAGCCGCGGUAAUACGUAGGGUCCGAGCGUUGUCCGGAAUUAUUGGGCGUAAAGGGCUCGUAGGCGGUUCGUCGCGUCGGGAGUGAAAACUCGGAGCUUAACUCCGAGCCUGCUUCCGAUACGGGCAGACUAGAGGUAGGCAGGGGAGAGCGGAACUCCUGGUGUAGCGGUGGAAUGCGCAGAUAUCAGGAAGAACACCGGUGGCGAAGGCGGCUCUCUGGGCCUUACCUGACGCUGAGGAGCGAAAGCGUGGGUAGCGAA
rnacentral:rRNA from 1 species